AUACGAAGGGGGCUAGCGUUGUUCGGAAUCACUGGGCGUAAAGCGCGCGUAGGUGGAUCAAUUAGUUGAGGGUGAAAUCCCGGGGCCCAACCUCGGAACUGCCUUCAAUACUGUUGAUCUUGAGACCGAGAGAGGUGAGUGGAAUUCCUAGUGUAGAGGUGAAAUUCGUAGAUAUUAGGAAGAACACCAGUGGCGAAGGCGGCUCACUGGCUCGGUACUGACGCUGAGGUGCGAAAGCGUGGGGAGCAAACAGAAUUAGAAACCCUAGUAGUCC
rnacentral:rRNA from 1 species